AACGUAGGUGACGAGCGUUAUCCGGAUUUACUGGGCGUAAAGCGUGUGCAGGCGGUUCGUCAAGUGGUGUGUGAAAGCGCCCGGCUUAACCGGGCGAGGUCAGGCCAGACUGACGGACUGGAGGCUGGGAGAGGGACAUGGAAUUCCGGGUGUAGUGGUGAAAUGCGUAGAGAUCCGGAGGAACUCCAGAGGCGAAGGCGGUGUCCUGGCCCAGACCUGACGCUCAGACACGAAAGCAUGGGGAGCGAAC
rnacentral:rRNA from 1 species